rnacentral:rRNA from 1 species
UCACUUUCAACAACGGAAAUCACUAGUGCGGCCGCCUGCAGGUCGACCAUAUGGGAGAGCUCCCAACGCGUU